GCGAGGAAAAAUUAGGUCCUGGGCCUGCUUCCAAAGUCGGGAUGGCUUGGCACGGGUGACAGGACGCGGCCAAGUGGUUCAGUCUCUGUACAUCGCGGUAACCAUCUAGAACUCACCUCACUCACCCACUGGAUGCCUUCUGAGAUGACAACAUCCAACAAGAAUGUCUUCCUCUGUUGAUGGUCCCUUGCCCGAGAUCUUGAACCAGGAGUCAUCAUCAUCCUGUCUUAGAACCAUCUCUUCAGACAGCAUCAUAGCUGUGUUGUAAUUUUCUUCAAAAACCAAA